GGGCGCGUGUUCUCAGUGGUUAAGAUACAUCGGUGAAUCCGAUCAGCAUCCAGCUGUCAGGUGCGGUGUGACGCCGGUUCGAUUCCGGCCUCGUCCA